GGGGAAUAUUGCACAAUGGGCGAAAGCCUGAUGCAGCGACGCCGCGUGAGGGAUGACGGCCUUCGGGUUGUAAACCUCUUUCAGCAGGGAAGAAGCGAAAGUGACGGUACCUGCAGAAGAAGCGCCGGCUAACUACGUGCCAGCAGCCGCGGUAAUACGUAGGGUACGAGCGUUGUCCGGAAUUAUUGGGCGUAAAGAGCUCGUAGGUGGUUGGUCACGUCUGCUGUGGAAACGCAACGCUUAACGUUGCGCGUGCAGUGGGUACGGGCUGACUAGAGUGCAGUAGGGGAGUCUGGAAUUCCUGGUGUAGCGGUGAAAUGCGCAGAUAUCAGGAGGAACACCGGUGGCGAAGGCGGGACUCUGGGCUGUAACUGACACUGAGGAGCGAAAGCAUGGGGAGCGAACA
rnacentral:rRNA from 1 species